UAACUGAAGAGUUUGAUCAUGGCUCAGAUUGAACGCUGGCGGCAGGCUUAACACAUGCAAGUCGAGCGGGGGAAGGU
rnacentral:rRNA from 1 species